rnacentral:rRNA from 1 species
UACGUAGGGCGCAAGCGUUGUCCGGAAUUAUUGGGCGUAAAGAGCUCGUAGGCGGUCUGUCACGUCUGCCGUGAAAACCCGAGGCUUAACCUCGUGGCUUGCGGUGGAUACGGGCAGACUAGAGGUAGGUAGGGGAGAACGGAAUUCCCGGUGUAGCGGUGAAAUGCGCAGAUAUCGGGAGGAACACCGGUGGCGAAGGCGGUUCUCUGGGCCUUACCUGACGCUGAGGAGCGAAAGUGUGGGGAGCGAACAGG